UUUGCAAUUUGAAAAGUAUUGUACAAAUGUUUCACAAAAGUAUAUUAUGCGGGUUUGUAUUGUAUUGUGAAUAAAUUUGUAAAUACGUAGGUUGAAUCAAAAACUUUAAAUUAUAAUAAUGAAUAUAAGUGGUAUCAGUGUAUCAUAGUGUAGGUGACCCCGCCUAUGACGCCUAUGGUCCCGGGUUCGAAUCCCGGUAAGGGCAUUUAUUUGUGUGAUGAAUACAGAUAUUUGUUAUUGAGUCAUGGGGGCUUCUAUGACUAGGUCGAUCUGUGGAAGACUGUCCCUAAAAUAUUUAUAGUUUAACAAGCAAUUUACUUCAAAAUCCGUAUCUAGGACACUUUGAAAAGUAAGUAGGUAUGAUGUAUCCGUCGGUUGGUAUAUUAUAUAAAACAUCUUCCUCGCGUUUUCCCGACAUUUCUGCCACGGCUCAUGGGAGACUGGGGUCCGCUUGACAACUAAUCCCAAGAUUUGGCGUAGGCACUAGUUUAGGGUAGGGUAAACUAGGCCUUGUUGGGAUUAGUCCGGUUUCCUCACGAUGUUUUCCUUCACCGAAAAGCGACUGGUAAAUAUCAAAUGAUAUUUCGUACAUAAGUUCUGAAAAACUCAUUGGUACGAGCCGGGGUUUGAACCCGCAACCUCCAGAUUGCAAGUCGCACGCUCUUACCGCUAGGCCACCAGCGCUUCGGUAUAUUAUAUAAAACAAUGCAGUUAAUACACGUGCAUCAUAAUAAAAAAAUAUUCAACUUUGAAGGCAAAGGAAUUAUUCAAUUAUAUUACUAAAAAUAAAAACUAUAAAAUUACACGUGUAGGUAAAAUUACCAAGUAUUCUUAAAAUGCCAUACGAUUAACGGAAUGUUAAGCUAUUUCGAGCUAUUGAAAAAAUGCUAAAGUGCCUUUUAAUGUAAUAAUAGUACAUAACGAUACAGGUGCGAAAAAUAGGAUAUUCGAAACGAGUGGCGAUAAAUUAAAACACGACCGAAGGGAGUGUUUUAAAUCGACACGAGUUGCGAAUUACCUAUUCGCACAUGUAUCGUACAACGUUUUACAGUACAUAUGGCCCUUUAAAUGUUCGUCACAGCAACGUAAUAUGCUAGUUUUCGCACUAGUGCGGUAAAGUAGCACCAUAUGUACUGUAAAAUAUAUUUUUCAAGGAGCCUAUGAUUAAAUCUAGAUUUUAAGAAAAAUUGGACUCAGUCGAAAGAGCGUAAGCGUAAGGUGUCGCGUAAGCGUAUCGUAAAAACAUUACGAGUACGAGACACGUAGAGUUCUGGGCAUCAAGCGUUUUAUAAGUGAAAUCUUAUUAGUUGAAAUCAUGUUGUGCUGGCGUCAGAUGGCGUCUGUCUUCGGCGGAUGUAUCGCCGAUCUUACUUACUCGUCAGAUGAAGAUUUUUUUAUGGUUAGAUUAUGUUAGAAGUUUUGUUUUUUACGCGUGUAUUACGCUACGCCUGUCGUAAUAACGACAGAAAUCUCAUACGCUACGCUACGACGACGCUUCGUGUGCGGACUUGUUUGAAGUUGUACGUGCUCGUAGUGUUCCCGUUCUACGCGCGUACUCAUUUACGCGUCUCUGACAUUCGCUUACGUGCCGUGUGCUGAGGUAAUGAUUAUAUGCUCUUUGGUCCUGAGGGCCUAAAUCGAAUUCCAAACAUACAAGCGAUAAACUUAAGUCUAAGGAGAGAUUUUGCCUCCUUGUGGAUGUUCUGCCACUUGUACAGUGUGAUGUGCUCUAAAGAAUGAAUGAGUCAUAACCUCAUGCCAAUAAAAAAAACUAUUGCCUCUUAAUUGCCACCUCUAUGCACGCAACAAUUUGUAAAUCACAAAAUAUGAUUAAUGCAUGUUAGUUAUAAGAUUUUUUGAAAAGAUGUGUCCCGUCGAGUUCCAUAUUGGGAUACCCUGCAAUUUAGGAGGGAUUUGAAUCUUCUCGGGUCAGAGGUGUUGGUUUAGAGACGGCGUAGCUUUUUUGACGUUUAUAAACGCAUUGUAAUAUCUUUAUCUUUAUCUUAAAACAUGCGUAGACAUGAAAAGAAACGUGGAUAAGAAACUGAUCAGUUCUUCUUGGACUUUUAGAUGUUUUUUUUUUAAUUUUUCCCUCUAUAUAAUUUAUUUAGCCUUGAAGACCAACCGUUCCAUAUUGAUAAAGACGGGUGUACACGUGUUCAUAUUUAGGUAUACCUUUAUACAAUAAAUAUUUAAAAUUCAAACAAACGCAUAUAUCAAAGUAAAAAAUGCAAGUGAAUUUGUGAAAUACUCCAAGUUUAUCUUGAAUUCCAGAAUGUGAUAUACCCGCUUUAUUUUUCUGACAAAUUCUUUUCUAUUUGUAUUGGAACAAGGUCUCUAAUAGCGUGUUUUUCGCAGCUUGUUGUUUUCGCACAGUCGAGUUUUAGCAUGUAUUUAAACUCCUUCAAAUCUUCGAGCUCACCACAACCUAACUUGCCUUUAGCGCAGAAUAAUUAAUAAUUCGCAUCUCGGGCUUCGUGAAGUAAUAACAAAAUGAACGCCAUAAUUUUUUCUGGUUUAUUAUUAUCUGUCUUCGCUGCGGUCUCCUGUAUUCCGGCCGUUGAAGAUAUCCCAUCGGACUUGGAGCUGCCUGAGCCCAUGGAUCAUGAGUUCAUUAAAUGUCUUUGGCGUUCUAUUGUAAAGUUAAUAGUAUGUCUGAAUCACAAAAGAAAUGAGAAGGAAUGUUUAAAUCUUCUGGUUGCAGAAGUUACGAAAUGUCUGCAUCCUAAGUAGAUGCCGAGAAGACCUAAAUCCUACAUUUAAACAGGCCUACUAAUAUCAUAAAAAAUAUGUAAUUUACAAACAAAGUAACUUCACUGACAGUAAAACGCAAAACUAUUAAAUAAUAUAAUUAUUUAAAUAUUUCAUUUACGAAACUAGAUCUUACCAUUCCAUAUUUAAAAUACCUAACCUUUUUAAAAUGAGCUUUGAUUCGCUAUCAUCUGCCAAAAGGCUUGAUUUGGAGCGGGCUAAUAAUUUUAUGAGACAAUUUCGAGAUGCGGAUUCUAAGGAGUCGAAGAAACGUUCGCGAAUCAAUUCAUGAAAGUGUGGAGUCUCUACGAUCGGGACAGUGAGUUGGAAAACGAACUUUAAGCAGUUUAGUUUUAGGUUCAAAAUUGUUUGACAAUGUUGAUUGAAAAUUUGACGACCUCUUUAGCUAUUAGCCUGCUACGAUGGCGGUUCUUGGACCAUGGGUUCGAACUCCAGUAAGAUCUACUCGUAAUAAUAUAAUAUUAGCGUGUGCACAAAUAUUUUCCUAUUCUUGUAAAUUUUUGACAUAUUUAUUAUUGUAUUCUCCUUAUAUACAGUCAAGGUCAUAAAUAUAUGUUAUGUAAUAUUUUAAAA